UUUUUAAACCUCGCCAUUUAGAGGAAGGUGAAGUCGUAACAAGGUUUCCGUAGGUGAACCUGCGGAAGGAUCAUUA
rnacentral:rRNA from 19 species